ACGUCAUGAAACUUCACCACGCAUUUACAUCUUCUAUAAAGCCUGUAUAAAGCAAGUGUGUAUCUGUAGAUUCAAUCAAACUUUCAUAAGAUAAAGUAGGAUAGAAUCAGAGAAAAGGUUUUUCAAGACAAAAUGAAGUUUUUUAACAAAUCAGGUUCAACAAAACAAACAAAAUCCGCAAAAACCAAACAACAAGCAACAACUAAAGUGAAAUGUGUCACAAUUGUUAAUUCAUCAGGAAAGCAAUUCAAACUAAAAUAAGAAAGAUGAAUAUUGUCCGUGUAAUUAACUAUGUAAUUAAAAGAUGAAUGGAACACAAAAAUAUCCAGCUAGACAUCAAAAGACAUCUGUAUAAAAUUCUUAUUGAAUACCAAGAAAAAAGACUGUGGGAAAUACGUUGAAGUCGAAGAUGCAGAGACGAAUAGUUGAAAAACAGCAAAUAUGAUACUGUCAGGCUAAGCACUGUUUAUAAUAUUAAUAAUAAUAAUAAUUGUAAGCACAUUUUAAUAUUUUAAAAAGAAAAUUGUCAAGUCAUAUUUAUUUAAGUGUUAUUAAUGACCUUAACAAAAGCAUUUAAAGUAUUA